rnacentral:rRNA from 1 species
CUACGGGGGGCUGCAGUGGGGAAUAUUGCACAAUGGGCGCAAGCCUGAUGCAGCAACGCCGCGUGAGGGACGAAGGCCUUCGGGUUGUAAACCUCUUUUAGCAGGGAAGAAGCGAAAGUGACGGUACCUGCAGAAAAAGCACCGGCUAACUACGUGCCAGCAGCCGCGGUAAUACGUAGGGUGCAAGCGUUGUCCGGAAUUAUUGGGCGUAAAGAGCUCGUAGGCGGUUUGUCACGUCUGCUGUGAAAUUUCGAGGCUCAACCUCGAACUUACAGUGGGUACGGGCAGGCUAGAGUGCGGUAGGGGAGAUGGGAAUUCCUGGUGUAGCGGUGGAAUGCGCAGAUAUCAGGAGGAACACCAAUGGCGAAGGCACAUCUCUGGGCCGUAACUGACGCUGAGGAGCGAAAGCGUGGGGAGCGAACAGGAUUAGAUACCCUAGUAGUC